rnacentral:lncRNA from 1 species
UAACUCUCCAUAAUUUUUUACCAAGUUUUUCUUCCAUAACUUGGUAACGUUUUUAAAAGGAAACUUUUAACCGUCAUUUUCAGUACCACACCUUUAAUUUCAGGCAACCUGAAAACCUUCAAAACCUCCUCGAACCUGACGAUGGACGAGCCGCUGGAAGUGUGUGUGCCAAGGGUAUCCGACGCCUGCGAGGCGUCGGAUACUUCCUGCAACACGCUGGACACCGACGUCCAAGUGGAAAACGAGAUCAAGACGGUGGAGCCGCUGUCACCGGUGAGCUCCUCAUACAACGAGAUGACGUCAUCGGUGCGAGGAGUGACGUCAGAGCCGACGGCGAUCAUCGUUAUCGGAGGGAUGACGUCAGCAGGGCACAGCGGUAGUUUGGUCAUUGACGAGCAGAUGCCUUCGGAGGUCUCUUGGGCGCCCGAAUGACUGGAAAUCAGAGUAAGGAAGCGUGUUGUUCGGAAUUUGAUGAACGAAAAUUUUCACGGAAGUUUGGUUCAAGAAUCGAUGAAACCUGGAAAAAUGGACGAAGCACAGCAGAAAAAGACAGCAAUCUGAGUUCUUGCACGGACGACGAGUCCCUUAUCCUCGAUUCCAGCCGGAAAAAUUCCUUCGUGUCUAUCGACCUGGAAUCAGAAUCCUUCUCGAGGGACAGCGGAAACUUGCGCAUCCCUGCGAUAGAGACCCGGAAAGGCCUAAAAGGACUCCUCGAUUCCAAAAAGGACCCAUCACGACUCCUCAAGAUGAAACGGAAAAUCAGGAAUAUUUGCGAGAGGGUCAAACAUAACGUGAUAAGGAAGAGAUAGGCGUAGAUGAGAUUCAAUUUAUCGUCUAUAUGUUUUCGUUAGCUACGUUUAGAUUUUCCAUGUAGCCUGGACUUUAAUAAGAAUAACAUAAUAUGUCAAACAUCUUCUAAAUACUCAAAGGCACUGGCGUAGUUUUUAUACCUUGAACAUUAGUGAGUGCUGUGAGAAAAAAAUUGAGCUUUUCAUGUUAUUAAAUUUCCAGGCAAAUGUUCGGUGAAUUUCGAUUUUUCUCGCAGCCUCAAUAUUUUAUUGCUUUUUAAUAAUUUGAUAGUUCUGAAUGCAAAUAAAGGAAUCCUCCGUAAAAUUGAGAAAGAAUGAAAUGUUGAACUCUCAGACCAGAGAUCAGUUAUUAAUUUAUUUAUUUUCAUCUGAUUCACCUGCUGCACUCGUUAGUAACCUUAGCAUAGUAAAGGUUUAUGUUGGAACGAUUUUUUUAAAAUUAAAUGCUUUAAAUGAUUUUCUAAACUGAAUAAAUAGUUCAACUAUGUAAUUCAAGUAAAGUUCUUGGCGAUGCAAGAAAAUACAUAUAAUUCUCUGUCAUUUUGAAUUACCUGCAUGCUACAACCGCCACUUUUUUUAGGAAGGGGGGGGGGAUACCGAGACAGUCAUUUGAAGCUGAAGAAGGCCCAUUUAAUAAAAGCUAGAUUCCUCACUUUCCAUACUCUCCCUAUAAAGAAGCUCUAAUUCUAAUGGAAAAUACCCAUCCCCAGUAGCAACGACAGUUAAAUUGUUUUUUAAAGAAGAAAUCGCACAUUAGAGAAAG